rnacentral:rRNA from 1 species
UGGGGAAUUUUGGACAAUGGGGGAAACCCUGAUCCAGCCAUCCCGCGUGUGCGAUGAAGGCCUUCGGGUUGUAAAGCACUUUUGGCAGGAAAGAAACGUCAUGGGUUAAUACCCCGUGAAACUGACGGUACCUGCAGAAUAAGCACCGGCUAACUACGUGCCAGCAGCCGCGGUAAUACGUAGGGUGCAAGCGUUAAUCGGAAUUACUGGGCGUAAAGCGUGCGCAGGCGGUUCGGAAAGAAAGAUGUGAAAUCCCAGAGCUCAGCUUUGGAACUGCAUUUUUAACUACCGGGCUAGAGCGUGUCAGAGGGAGGUGGAAUUCCGCGUGUAGCAGUGAAAUGCGUAGAUAUGCGGAGGAACACCGAUGGCGAAGGCAGCCUCCUGGGAUAACACUGACGCUCAUGCACGAAAGCGUGGGGAGCAAACAGG